ensembl:lncRNA
AAAAAUCCUUUUGUCAUUAUGAGUAUAUAUGAAUUGUAAUAAUUCUCAUUUCCACUCUAGAAAACCAUAAGAGCACAUGUCCUUUCUUUAGAAAUGAAUAUAGCUUUCGGGUUUUUUGGGUUUUUUUUGAUGUUUAUGAGAGGAAAUAGGACAACUCUCAAUAUGUGAACCAUGGUGUGGUGGAGAAAACACAUCCAAUCUUAUGGUAAAUAUGGUUGAAUAAGGUGAUUUUAGGAUUUUCUUUACAAUUGAUUUGAAAAAUCCUUACAUUUAUAGGACUCAUCUAUCUAUAGAGUUCAACUUGGAUAUUAAAAAAGGGAAACUAGAUCUUCAUCUGUUAUUUAUUAUAUAGAGCUGAAUUUACUUAUUUAUAGAAAGAUCUUGACUUAAGUAGAGUCAAGGCUUGUGGAGAAAAUUAAAAAGAAAACUGUUAUCAUUAACAAGAAAUUUGGUAUAUUAACUAAGAGAUAAUAAUAAGCUCUGAUUUAACUCUGAUGCAGUAUAAGAUUAUUUUUUAUUUUUAAUUUUAAUGUGCUGUUAUGGAUUUAGUUCUUAAGAAAUGAGUCUACUUUUGAAAAUGGUGCAUCAGCAUAAGAGCAAAUUUUUGGUCAAAUAAGAUGUCUUAUCUGUGUCAUAUUGUCUUUAAUUUAUGUAUAAAUGUCUUAGUUUUUUUGAUUUUAUUUUUCACUAGUCUAGACAAGCCAAGAUGUAGCUGCUAUUCUUUUGCCCUCCAAUGGUAUGACUUAUUUUUGACAAUGUUGAACUACUGAUGGAAUGCAGGUGAUGUAAAUAAAAUGACCUAAAAUUUUUGCAUAUCAUUGGGAUGUUCAUCAUCCCAAGCUGUGUGAUGUAAUACACCUUAUUUUAUAGCGCCUAUUUAUUUCCAAGGGAAUGUCUCUUCAUAUUUGUCUAAUAGUCUGUAAAUAAGAUUGUAUUUAUUAGAAAUAUUUACUCUCUUGUUUUUUUGUAAAGUCAUCUUACUCAUUCAUUAUUAGCAAAAGUAAAAUAUGGCCACAGGGCUAAAUGAACAACUUGAUUCAAAGAGGAGUUAGAUGAAAAAUUCUAAUAACAUGAUCGGAUUGUGAAACAACAUCUAGAAGUUAAUUCUGUUGAAAUAUGACAAAUCUACCAACAAUCCUGUUUCCACAAAUGUGGGGAUCAGUAUAAGGAUGUAGAUUUGACCAGAAGUAAAUGAACUUAAGUUGUUUUUACACCUAAUGACAUAUUUGUUCAAGGCUUUAAAUAUAAGACAUAAAGUUGCACUUAAUAAACUUAUCCUUAUCUCUUUAGUUCUUUUUGCAAAUACAUACCUGAAUGUGUAUACUUCACAUCAAUGUUAUACUAUAUCCUUUUUUAAAAUCAUGAAUCCUGGCAUUUGAAUAGGAAAAUGCCUUAUAAGGAGUCAUUUUUCCAUCAUUUUUACUUUAUUUUUUCACAAAAUGCAUUUUUCUUCUCAUUUAAUACUUAAUGUGAUUUGUAUCAACCCAAUUCCCAGCCUUACUUUUGCAAAUAAAGUUUAAAAUAAAAGACUUAUUUUCAUAUUUGUACAGUGAUCAGCUUUAGUAAUGACUAUAUUUUAUAUAUGAGUGUACAUAUGUAUGUAACAAAUAUCUUAUGUCUAUAUGAAGUAAGUCUCAGAGUGUGGAGUAAUAAUUUUAUGUUUCUGGUUUCUGUGGUUUAUAUUUUUAAGGUGUGGAUUGACCUUCCUUCAUUUUUACUUUUCCUCAAACAUUCAUAAUUAUGCCAUAAAGUAUACUUUUAUAUCAUUUCUUAUCUCUGUGGAGCCACAGAUGUGUUGUAUAUAUUUCAAAUUUAAUAAAAUGUGCU